rnacentral:rRNA from 1 species
UGCACCAAUGGGCGGAAGCCUGAUGCAGCACGCCGCGUGAGGGAUGACGGCUUCGGUUGUAAACCUCUUUAGCAGGAAGAAGCGAGAGUGACGGUACCUGCAGAAAAAGCACCGGCUAACUACGUGCCAGCAGCCGCGGUAAUACGUAGGGUGCAAGCGUUAUCCGGGAAUUAUUGGGCGUAAAGAGCUCGUAGGCGGUCUGUCGCGUCUGCUGUGAAAUUCCGAGGCUCAACCUCGGGCUUGCAGUGGGUACGGGCAGACUAGAGUGCGGUAGGGGAGAUUGGAAUUCCUGGUGUAGCGGUGGAAUGCGCAGAUAUCAGGAGGAACACCGAUGGCGAAGGCAGAUCUCUGGGCCGUAACUGACGCUGAGGAGCGAAAGGGUGGGGAGCAAACAGGCUUAGAUACCCUGGUAGUCCACCCCGUAAACGUUGGGAACUAGUUGUGGGGUCCUUUCCACGGAUUCCGUGACGCAGCUAACGCAUUAAGUUCCCCGCCUGGGGAGUACGGCCGCAAGGCUAAAACUCAAAGGAAUUGACGGGGACCCGCACAAGCGGCGGAGCAUGCGGAUUAAUUCGAUGCAACGCGAAGAACCUUACCAAGGCUUGACAUACACGAGAACGGGCCAGAAAUGGUCAACUCUUUGGACACUCGUGAACAGGUGGUGCAUGGUUGUCGUCAGCUCGUGUCGUGAGAUGUUGGGUUAAGUCCCGCAACGAGCGCAACCCUCGUUCUAUGUUGCCAGCACGUAAUGGUGGGAACUCAUGGGAUACUGCCGGGGUCAACUCGGAGGAAGGUGGGGAUGACGUCAAAUCAUCAUGCCCCUUAUGUCUUGGGCUUCACGCAUGCUACAAUGGCCGGUACAAUGGGCUGCGAUACCGUAAGGUGGAGCGAAUCCCAAAAAGCCGGUCCCAGUUCGGAUUGAGGUCUGCAACUCGACCUCAUGAAGUCGGAGUCGCUAGUAAUCGCAGAUCAGCAACGCUGCGGUGAAUACGUUCCCGGGUCUUGUACACACCGCCCGUCAAGUCAUGAAAGUCGGUAACACCUGAAGCCGGUGGCCUAACCCCUUGUGGGAGGGAGC